GGCGGCGGCGGCGAUGGUGGCGACGGUGGCGAUGGUAGUGACAGCAGCGACGAAGGCGGUAGUGGCUGCAACUUUACUCGCGAUUACGUUUACACCGUUGCGCGCAACUGCAUCGAACGAUAUGCGGACGCGGCACGCGCGAAGAGAUCAUUUGGAUUAAAUUUAGUUUGCGUAGGCACUUUCACGUAAUUGAGAACCGAAGAAUGAGACAGAUAAAUAGACACAUAGAUUCUUCCUUUUCUUCUUCUUGUUUUAUUUGAAUCUCCGUCCGUUGAACAAAGUAACACGUCAAAACACUGAUUUUAUAAAUUAUUUUACUAACGAUAGCGAGAACGAUGACGAGUGACGACGAUAACGAUAAUGGCACUGAUGGUAAUAACAACGAUGAGACUGAUAGUAAUUACGAUGAUAAUGUGUGCGUGAGACGACAACGACGAGUGAAGUUUAAGGCUCGGGCGCAGCGUUUUGAUAUCGUGUAGUGCCUACAUAGCCGUGAUGCAUAAAUUGGACUGUCUCACUGAAAGAGCGGUGCAAUGGUGCAAACUCCACAAAACCGAAACCAGUUUCUUUGCGCCCGCCGUCGGAAUUGCGCCCUAGUCCAAUCCGAUUCAACCGCUCACCUCUCUUCACAGGAUAUACGGGCUCCGCCUUACUCAGGAUCGUCACAAGCACCGAAUCGCCCCGUGCGCUCUGUUUUCAAACCCGACGAAGAUAACUGUCGAACUCAAAGAUCUUCAAAUGUUACUCCGUCUUUUAUUACGCUCUACGGAGAUGCAUAGAAAUAUUUCAUACAUUAGAGUCCAUACAUUUUAAUUAGGUGAAAAUAGAUAAAUAGUAUUUAUGUUUAUGUAUAUUACCUCUUUAAAAAAUUUUCCUUUUUUAAUUUCAUUAUUUUAAGAAUUUGUCAAGCGUUUUAUCCUCUUCUACACAUAAAUGGCUUAACAUAAAAUCUAAAAAUUUGAUAAGGUCUGUAAUAUAUAGAAUCACCGCAUUUUUCUGCAUUAAUUAACUUAAUAUCAUUUUAUAUGUUGUAAUUCGAGCUUCUCAGUCUAAAUUAUUAUCGCAUAUUCGAGAAGAUACUAAGGAAAAUAUAACAUUUUCUGUUACGUUUUAUGUGAAAGUACAAAAA